CCUACGGGAGGCAGCAGUGGGGAAUAUUGCACAAUGGGCGAAAGCCUGAUGCAGCGACGCCGCGUGAGGGAUGACGGCCUUCGGGUUGUAAACCUCUUUCAGCAGGGAAGAAGCGAAAGUGACGGUACCUGCAGAAGAAGCGCCGGCUAACUACGUGCCAGCAGCCGCGGUAAUACGUAGGGCGCAAGCGUUGUCCGGAAUUAUUGGGCGUAAAGAGCUCGUAGGCGGCUUGUCACGUCGGAUGUGAAAGCCCGGGGCUUAACCCCGGGUCUGCAUUCGAUACGGGCUAGCUAGAGUGUGGUAGGGGAGAUCGGAAUUCCUGGUGUAGCGGUGAAAUGCGCAGAUAUCAGGAGGAACACCGGUGGCGAAGGCGGAUCUCUGGGCCAUUACUGACGCUGAGGAGCGAAAGCGUGGGGAGCGAACAGGAUUAGAUACCCUGGUAGUCCACGCCGUAAACGUUGGGAACUAGGUGUUGGCGACAUUCCACGUCGUCGGUGCGCNGCUACGACACUACGUCCCGUCCGUCGGGAGGUACGGCCGCGACGACGUAAACCGUACGAAGGUAAGUUAGUACGGCGUUGUAGACGUUGCCGACGGCGACGACGAGGGAGGAGG
rnacentral:rRNA from 1 species